rnacentral:rRNA from 1 species
AUGCACGUCUUGACGGUACCUAAUCAGAAAGCCACGGCUAACUACGUGCCAGCAGCCGCGGUAAUACGUAGGUGGCAAGCGUUAUCCGGAAUUAUUGGGCGUAAAGCGCGCGUAGGCGGUUUUUUAAGUCUGAUGUGAAAGCCCACGGCUCAACCGUGGAGGAUCAUUGGAAACUGGAAAACUUGAGUGCAGAAGAGGAAAGUGGAAUUCCAUGUGUAGCGGUGAAAUGCGCAGAGAUAUGGAGGAACACCAGUGGCGAAGGCGACUUUCUGGUCUGUAACUGACGCUGAUGUGCGAAAGCGUGGGGAUCAAACAGGAUUAGAUA